rnacentral:lncRNA from 1 species
NNNNNNNNNNNNNNNNNNNNNNNNACUGGGAAUACUGGGGGAUACUGGGAGGGGCUGGGAGCGAUGUGUCCCCGUGUCCUGUGUCCCCAUGUCCCCAUUUCAGUGUCCCCCUGUCCUGUGUCCCCCCAUCAGUGUCCCCCCCAUGUCCCCCUGUCUGUGCCGGUGUCCCCUCUGUCCCCCUGUCCGUCUUCCCAUGUCCCCAUGUCUGUGUCUGGUGUCCUCAUGUCCAUGUCUGGUGUCCCCUUGUCCCCAUCCCAAUGUCCCCAUGUCCGUGUCUGGUGUCCCCAUGUCCAUGUCCCCAUGUCUGUGUCACUGUCCCCAUGUCCGUGUCAGUGUCCCCAAAUCCAUGUCCCUGUCCCCGUCUGUCCCCAUGUCCGUGUCGCUGUCCCCAUGUCCGGUGUCCCCGUCCCUGUCCCCAUGUCUGUGUCGCUGUCCCCCUGUCCCUAUCCCAAUGUCCCUCUGUCCCCAUGUCCAUGUCUGGUGUCCCCCUGUCCAUGUCCCCGUGUCCGUGUCACUGUCCCCUGUGUCUCCAUGUCUGUGUCCCCCGUGUCCCCAUAUCCGUGUCACUGUCCCCGUGUCUCUGUCCCCAUGUCCGUGUCCCCGUCUGUGUCCCCAUGUCCAUGUCCGUGUCCCCUCUGUCCCUGUGUCCGUGUCACUGUCCCCAUGUCCGUGUCCCCAUGUCUGUUGUCACCGUGUCCAUGUCCCCCUGUGUCCCCAUGUCUGUGUCACUGUCCCCAUGUCCGUGUCCCCAUGUCCGUGUCUCUGUCCCCGUGUCUGUCACUGUCCCCUAUGUCCCCAUGUCUGUUGUCACCUUGUCUGUGUCCCCGUGUCUAUGUCACUGUCCCUGUGUCCGUGUCCAUGUCCCCAUGUCUGUGUCACUGUCCCCAUGUCUCUGUCCCCAUGUCUAUUGUCACCGUGUCCCCCUGUGUCCCAGUGUCCAUGUCCGUGUCGCUGUCCCCAUGUCGCUGUCCCCGUGUCCGGUGUCCCCCUGUCUGUGUCCCCACGUCUGUUGUCACCGUGUCCGUGUCCCCGUGUCCGUGUCACUGUCCCCAUGUCUCUGUCCCCGUGUCCGGUGUCCCCCUGUCUGUGUCCCCAUGUCUGUUGUCACCGUGUCCGUGUCCCCGUGUCCGUGUCACUGUCCCCAUGUCGCUGUCCCCGUGUCCGGUGUCCCCCGGCCCCUCCCUGUGUCCUAUUUUCCACCGUGGCCAUGGCAACGCAGGGACCG